rnacentral:lncRNA from 1 species
GACUCUGGCCGGGCCCCGAGUCCCACGCCCCGGAUCCCCGUGGCCCCCUUGCUCCCUGACCUCUUCCCGGCCAUAGCCCAUCUGGAGGGCCGACCGUUGCCUGUGGAGGAAGAGAAAGAGAGUGAGCACCCCGAGAACGAACUGUGUGAACCAGUACUUACCGUGAGUUGUAUUCAGCGAAGAGGAGGAAGAAGGAGGGCGCUACGGAUACCUAAGACUCUGGCCGGGCCCCGAGUCCCACGCCCCGGAUCCCCGUGGCCCCCUUGCUCCCUGACCUCUUCCCGGCCAUAGCCCAUCUGGAGGGCCGAGUCAGAGUUUAGUUUUAAAUUGCCCUUUCCCUAUUCCCCAAGCUAUUUUUAAAUAUUUAAAUAAAGAUUUGUUUUAUCACUUACUUGUUCUCGUGUUGUUUGGCCAUUGGGUUGGCUUUGGGGACCUCCCCGAGGUGGAAGUUGAGAAGGGCAAAGCAUAGCCCGCCCCUGGGUGUGACAUAAGUCUGCCUGUUUCGUUUUCUUCCAAUACUGCUCCAUUGCCCCAGUCUUCCUCUUCAUUCAUUGGUUGCCUCUCUCUCCUCAGACAAGCAAUGUUAUGGAGCACUACACAAGCAACUACAAUGUCACAUGCCCUAGGUGGAGUCACUCUGAGGUGCUUCAGGCACUGAAACCUUGACUUUAUCAGCCCAAAUGCCAUCUCUAUACGACCUCUUAUUGUGCGUGCAUGGGCAAUGUUGUAGCGGUGCGGUGCUCUGUCUGGGGCUCCUGAUAGGGAGUCAAGAGGUAAGGCAGGCAUGGGUAUCCCUGGUCUCCCAGCAAAACUCCUGAAAAUUCUCCUGCAUAGACAGAAUGAAUAUAUAUAUAUAUAUUAUACAAAAUGUAGGGUUUUUUUCUUCUUUUAAGACGUUUUGUGAUUUAAGUGAUUACUAGCACACCUCUUGCUAGUUGCUGGUAGAGAGAUGAGGCUCUAAAGAUUCUAGUGUCAUGCAGAGAGCCUGGCCAUUUGGCCUUUACAUUUGUGAUGAUGGAAUCUGCAUCACUAAUCAUCUAAAAUAAAUUAAACCUGUAGGUCUCUACAUUUUAAUUGCAAUGAACUAAACACUGGUGCCCAGCUUAGUACACAACACUCAGUGCUAGAGCAUAGCCUUCAAUAUCAUCUCAGUGGGACCGUACAUGUACAUUGAUGCUGUGUACUGAUUUCCUAUUCACAAAGUCCGCUUCAUGUGGACCAGACGGACACUUAAUACACACAUGGGUGCAGGCCAAUGCACUGAUAACAUUUGGGAAACCUAGGAAAAUUAUUUGUUUGUUUUAAAUAUGUCCCAUGUAAAAUCAACAGUCAAAAAAUAUUUCCUUGUUUUAUAGUUAUUUGAACUUACCAGCUA